GUAUGACUGACGCUACUGUCUUUUUAUUGUAAAUCUUUAUUUUAAUUAAAUAAUUAUAGAUAGCGUCCGCUUUGAUAGACACGAUUGAGACACUAAUAAAAAAUAAAAUAAAAUUCAUCUUAGAGUCUACUGGAGCGGACUCUAAUAAACAAUAAAUUAAAUAAAAAAAAAACUUUUUGUUAAGAGCCAAUUUUUUUUCCCAAUUUUUCAUUUUCCCACUUUUUUCUUUUCAUUCCCUAUUUCAGCAAUGAGCAAUAAUAUAUCAUUUGAUAUAUUUUUGCUUUUCUUUCUCAAAUACACAAAAAGAAGUGACAAAAAAAUACAGAAAAAGAAGAAAACAACCCUAAUCCUCCAACAAUGGGUAAACGGAAUUGAAUUCGUCAGAAUGGGUGAACCAAAUUCGUCUCAACAACCGUAAUCCUCCGAAUUCGUCCCCGUCGAAGAACAAUCCGCUGUGGAAGAAGAAAACCCUUCCAUCAACCCUAAUCCGUGAAGAACAACCUCAAUCACUCCGCCGUUAUUAUCCAUCGUUCUCGUGGUUACAAGAUUAUUUGAAUCCAUUUCAUGCAUAUGAUGAAGGGAAUCUUACAUGGCUGGUAAGUGAUCAUUCUGAAGCUUGCAAUACGUAGUAAUCAGUACUAUAAUGGCUAAUUACCUGCACACAAAUGUUGAAUCAGUGUUAGAUAUGUAUAAUGUAAGUAUCAAGGAGGCUGAUAUUCAUUAUAGUUUAUUUUGAAGAUUUUGAUGCUGAAAGAAGGUUAUCACAUGCAUUCAAAUUAAUAGUUAAAGUGUAGAUUUUAAUAAAUUUUGUGCUACUGUUUAGAGUACCUUUGUUCAUGUAUGAUUCAAAAGAAGAGAAGGUUUAUUUGAAGAGUUUUAUAAUUGUUCUGUGAAGUGGUAUUCAGUUAUGUGACUGUUCUGUUAUGUUUUGCUAGUUUGUGACUGUUAUUCAGUUCUAUUUCAAAAUGAUUAUGGUGUCUUGAAGGUCUUAGAAAGCUUAGUCUUCAUAAUAAUCAAAUUAGUGGUUCAAUCCCUUCAUCAUUAGGACUUUUAAUCAAUCUUAGAGGAGUUCAACUCUUCAAUAAUAGGUUAAAAGGUUCAAUCCCUCCUUCAUUAAGUUAUUGAUAUUUUAUGUAGAAAUUUUUAAAAUUACUUACUUACGGAUUAGAUUACAAGAAUGUAUAUACAUAUAUACACUAAUAAUGGGUUUAGGGUCCAAUAAUUGGAACUCUAACACUCCCCUCAAGCUGGAAUAUAUAUAGAAACAGAGAUGCAUCCUUGAGCUUCAGAAACUGUGUUUACUCUUUUACUGUCAUUAUUGAGAUUUAUCAGUCUAGUUUUUUAUGAGAUAAGAAGUAACAAGAGUAAGGUACUGUUUAAACAUAAUGAAUUUGAUAAACCUAGUUUUGAUCUCAGUCUGAUGUGGGAAGCAGCCUGACUUACUGCAUCUUCUUCCGUCAGGUUCUCUAUACUAAUUGAUUAUUCAUUGAAUCCUUUAAACCUCUUUAUCUCAAUAUAAUCUUACUUAACAUAACAUAUUAGCAUAUAAUUUUGAAAUCAUGGACACAAAAAAGUCAACAUAUAACAAGCUUGUUAAGUUGUUAGCUUAAUGGUAAAAUUGGUUGUAUUGUAAUCCCUCUUGUUUAAGUUCUAUCUGUUCACUUUUUGUUUGAAUUGCAUUUGUUCCAAGACCUUGGCAAAAGUUGUAAAUUUCUUUCAUAGAUCUCUUGUCAAGCUGGGAAAAUAUGAAUACAUAUUUGCAUCGGUCGUUUAUCAUAUACUCCUAUGUUUCUUCUUUUGAUUUUGAUUUGUCAAUUGUCUAUCUUUGUGCCGGUGAUCACAUGCUUAAUUUACUCUAUUUCAUAUACCUCUAUCUUAGCAACCAUACUUAAGUCCAUUCAAUUUGUUAGGAGAGCCAAAAGAUGAUUCUUUAAGACUUAAAAUUGAUUUUGAUGUGUUUAGUGUUUCUAAUAGUGAUUAGAAUUGAUUCUACAUGUGAUUUUGUCUCUAAAUGUGAUUUUUACACUUAAAUUUAUUCACUUUCAUGUGAAUGUAUCUUAAUAGGGUUCGAACCAGAGAAUAUAAAUUUUGUUGGUAAUUAGUUUAAUUUUGUUGGAGGCCUUGCCGUGUGUUUUGUCUUUGGAAAAGGAUGCAGUUGUUUAAUACAGAGUGUUGUUUUCUCUUCUUGAAUGGAUGGCAAUUUACUUAAGGAUGGACUUCCAUCUUAUGCCCUUUGGCUUUUCAUUUACGAUGUAGUUUAUUUAUCCUAUUAUUUUAGAUCAAUUUUUAGAGCAAGUACUGAUGCGGUUUUGAUAGGUGCUUAGGACUAUUUUGGUGGGUUAUAUAUUAGUGGGUUAUAUUUUGAUAGGUGCUUAGGACUAUAUUAGUGGGUUAUAUAUUUUGUGGGAUAUUUUGGUGGAUUAUUUAUUAGUGGAUUAUAUUUUCAUGGAUGUAGACCUUUUUUGUUGACAUUAUAUAUGGUUAUAUGGUAUAAAUAGAAGGUCCAGUAAAAAACUAUUUAAUUUAU